rnacentral:sRNA from 1 species
AAAAGCCAAUGCGUAGAACGGCAUGUAUGGUAGCUGAACAAUUUUGUUCUUGCAUUGCUUUCAUACUGAGUGUAGAAAUAAGUUAUCAAGUUCAAGUCGUGGAAGUCUUUAAGGCCAGUUGUCUAUCUAUUUAGUUUAUAAUACAGAACACCUGUUAUUGACAUCAGAACAACAGUUUUGCAGUGAUUACGAGUGUUUUGUUGUAUUUCCUGUUUUGGUCUAAGGAUUGACGGAUGAUACACCAUUUCAACCAUAUUUUCGAACUAUACAAUCAGAUAUUCAAAUUGAAAAAUGGAAAUUUGUGAAAAAUUCAUAAACCAAAAACAUUCUUUAUUUAAUUCCACAUUAUGCUGGGUUUAAAAAAAAAAGAAUUUAGAUACAUUUGCACAUUUAAAAAAAUACAUGUACUUGUAAAUGUACAUGUAGUAAGUUCAAUAAAUAAUUGACAGACGGAGGAAUAGACCAUCCAGCAGCAGUUUAUCCACGCUAUAGCUGUACCUGCUUCAGGCGUACCAGUUAAAAGAACUGAUAAUAGUGACAAUAAUUAAGAUAAGGUCAGGUUUAAUUUACAUCUUUUCAUUAAUUACACGUAUUUUUGAGAUAUCCAUUUUACCAAAGAAAUACUGAGAUCAGCGUACUAGUACGUCAUUCUGAUGUUUAACGCGAUCAAAUCCUUCCCUCGUACUAGUUAAAAAUUGGAGUAAAAUUGAUUAAAUUGUAGAUUUGAAAUUAUCUUGAACCAUAACUGUGCUUACUAUAAAAUCUGAAGUUAAUAAAACAGAGAGUGUCGAACUGAAUUAUACUGUAAGUCUGAAAUCUAUAUUCUCGUUAGCUCACGGUAACACUAAACGUGUCCCUGACGUUUUAGCGUCAUCACCUCGGCAACCAUUAGGUGUCAUUAGCCAGCAGUGAUGUAUGAGUCCAUUGCAAUACCUUCCUCCAUUUAUCUGGUGUCCGUCAUGGAAUUUCCCUUCGAGCUCAGAAGCCAGCUACAUGCUGGUGUGACAGUAGGGGUGAGAGCGGAAUAUCAUGACCGCGAAGCCAGCCGAACCAUUAGUGGCAGGAACCGGCGGAUGCAAAUGAAGCAAGAAUCACAGCAACAGACACAGAUCGGGGUAAAUUGGAGUGAUCGAAGUUUGUCAUCGUAGAAGUAUGUUAAUAAACAGUGGACUCUCAUUUUACCGAGUCUGCACCUCAAACUAUUGUACAUGAAUCCUUGUUUACAGAACUCUUAAAUUUGAAUUUUCAGUAUAUCAAAUACUGAUUACAAUGUUAUUGCAUUUGUUUGUUGUAUUUAUUUUUAAUGCAUACAACUUUCGCGAAUUGGCUGACUUUUACAAUAAGAGUUCAUUAUUUGAGGACUUUCAUUUUGCAAGUGGCGAGUAUAGCAAAACAUUGUCUAAUUUGUCUGAUAUUGCAUUUCGAUAGUAACUGACAGAUAUUUUCAUACAAAAUAAUCACUGGUUAUAAAUAAAAACAAAAAACCAAU